GAUGAAGAACGUAGCGAAAUGCGAUAAGUAAUGUGAAUUGCAGAAUUCAGUGAAUCAUCGAAUCUUUGAACGCACAUUGCGCCCGCCAGUAUUCUGGCGGGCAUGCCUGUUCGAGCGUCAUUUCAACCAUCAAGCCCCCGGCUUGUAUUGGGGACCUGCGGCUGCCGCAGGCCCUGAAAAGCAGUGGCGGGCUCGCUGUCACACCGAGCGUAGUAGCAUACAUCUCGCUCUGGGCGUGCUGCGGGUUCCGGCCGUUAAACCACCUUCAUAACCCAAGGUUGACCUCGGAUCAGGUAGGAAGACCCGCUGAACUUAAGCAUAUCAAUAAGCGGAGGA
rnacentral:misc_RNA from 1 species